CCUUGCUCCCUGCCCGCCUGUAGUACUACAGUGUGCUCAGCCUGUAGCAAAGUGCUGUGAGGAAAGGCUGAGGUUCCCCUUGUUCAGCACUGGAGCUAAGAUGGUUUCUGCCAGCCCGAGGAUCCCACCCUCUUCCAGAGACACAGGUAUGUAAUGUGCAGAAGUCAUGGGCCUCCUGUGUUCUCUCCAACUCCACAGCUUGGGCUAUCUUGACUGCAGGAGCACGCUGUUCAAAAAAGCUGUAGCAGUUAAGUUUUAGAAGCAGAUACCUGGAUGGAGAUGCUUUUUCAUCAAAAGAAAACUUUUGCACAGAUGUGGUUGACACAGGAGGGCAUGAUCUCAUCCCAUAUGUCAUCAUUAAUCUUAGCUGAGAUAACUGCAAAUGUGUGACCGUCACACAUGCAAUGACACAAAACAUGAAGCCAACAGGAAAGUACCUGGCUACCAGCUACAUGUGGUAGUACAAGUAAAUCAGACUGAACUGCAACAGCUGAGGAUAUUAGAUGAACUUGCAAGUUCCAUGAAGAAAUUACUUAAAAAAUAAACAAAAAACCACAACACCACCUUUGCCUGUCUCUGUGGCUGCUACCAAUAUGGGUGAAACGUGUCAGCAUUCCAUUAUGCUCAAGUCAUCAAUGUGCAAUUUAGAAGUUACUGACUUGUCUCUGUAUUUCAAAGCAGAACAUCAUCAUGAAAACUGUUUGCAGGGAAAGUUGUAACAUAUUGCCUGAACCAUCCGUAUUGCUGGUUGAUGAUGGCAUGUCAUGGGCAGUACAGAUGACGGCAUGUGGAUAGUCUGUUUUACUGGUCCUGACCAUCUGCUCUGAGAGAAGGCCCAUACAGCCACAUAGAACUCCCCAGACCUCAUGGGACUCUGCACCAGUGGGAUUCUGCAGACGUAUAUUUGCAGUAUCACAGUCAGCAACAGCACAAGCUUGGUUAGAACUUGUAACUGGCUGGGGACUUGAGUCUGUCUGUCUUCAUAUCACCAGAGUCCAAAACCACUCUACUUCCUAUGCCCAAAGGAAAAGUAACAUCUGUUGUGACAGAUUUAUGCAUAUGCUCACCCUUGCUUCAGAGUAAAGAUCUGCGGUGACACUGACUUGCAAAAUGCAAUGAAGACACAGGUAGGUAGGCAAAGGAGUGUGACAUGGGACGCUGACACCAUGCAGGUAUGUACCUUACAAAACCACCAAUUCCAAUUUUUUGCUAUUGGAGUGUUUCAGUGCACAUCCUCCAUCUGAGCAAAGGCUGCGAGCCAGGGCUGAGCACUGUGCGUGCCCUGAACUGAAGGAGCAGUGAAAGGUACUGUCAAUAAAGCACUAUUUAGUGCUUAUCUCAGCAAGCUUCUACCAGGUGCUAAUGCACCUGCUCCUUAGCACCCCUGGGAAUGCUGUGACAGCUGCUGGUGGGAGCAGUGUAUGAUGGGCAGUGCCAGAGGGCGUGCAAUUCAGGGUCCCAAACCCCAUGGAGUACACUGAAUGGGAAAAGUUUUAAAGUAGGUUACUUCCUAGGUGGUUCAAACUUGUAAUUCUUCCAAGUUACAUUUAUCUUUUACUAAUGUUCUCAGACUGCCUCUGUUCUGCUUGUGUGACUGUCAGAAGGGCAGGUGUCUGUGCAGAACCAGUUUUGCUGUAAACCUUCUUAUACACAGAUUCAAACUACUGAUUGUCAAAGGCAAAUCUAAUUUUAAAAUGCCAAACUUGAUACUUGAAGGAACACGUUCUACAGUGGUAAGUUUCUAUCGUACUGUGAACUUCCUACUUUCUUCAGAUAUCUAAGAGCCUGGAACACAAUAAGUGCACAGGAGGAAAGGAUGUAAGAUGUAAUGAAGAAGAAAAUCCAAUGAUUUGGUAGAGGUCAACCCUCUCCUGUGAUCAUAGUAACCCUUCACAAAUCUCUUUAAUCCUAGUUAAAAAGCAAACAAACAAAAUAUCCAAAUAAACAAAGCCUUUAAAAAUUUGGAAAAUUAUUUUUUCUAAUUAAAUAUAAAUGUAAAACUUUGUCUGUUUUAGGUAGAGCACAGAAUCUGUCUUGUCACAGUUAAGAAGCCUUUUCCACAAAGAAUUCUUUCACAAAACUGGAGAUGAUAAGGAAAGAGAUGAAAAGCUGAAAGAAUCUGGAUCUGGGCAACUGCCAGAGCUGAUAUGAGCUGGAGGUGGGGAAGCAGCGCUGUGCUCAUCUGCUCUCACAGUGCUGUAUGUGGGCACUAGGGCUGCUGCUGCGGACAAGUGAGUGGAAUGGACAGACUAUUGGCAUGGCUCAGCAUGAUGCCUUUUUUGGCCUCUUAUCCACGUUUUUUUAUAGGACCUAAAGCAAACUGGAUCUCGAAUGACCUGACACCUAACCGCCUAACAACAGGAAACUGUAAGUAAGUGGCAUUACUGUUCUUUGAUCAGGUUAAAAUGGAUCAAUGACUACAGCUGGUAGGUCCUGCGUUGCUAUCAAGAUUUAUUUUUCAGGUGUUUCACUGUAGCUCUGCAUUCAAUGGAACCGUGGUAUUCCCUCACUAAAUGCCAUCUCUGUUUUCCUAGAGCCAAAAGGGGUGAGAAUGGAGAGGUGAAAGGCAGCAUUCUGACUUUGAAAGAGAGUUCCCCAGAAUCCUGAUGUGGAGUACAGUGAGUGUUGCUUGUCUGAAAUCAGAGCAGCUUUUCAUGUCAGAAAGCCAGACAGAUUUAGAUUUUCAGCAUCUGAGACUGAAAUACAUACAAAGUUCAAUUCUAGUGUCUUGGUGAUCUUGCUGAUCACCAAAUGCUGAUAUAUGGGCAGAUUCACCACCUCAGUACAAAUUCUAUUUCUGUUAUUUUUUGUGCUAAAUAGUAUUAUUAAGGGACAGAAUCAAAAUUUAGACUGAGUUGCAGCAGUGUGAUCCAUUGGCAGUGCUGUGCCAACAGCAGAGGAAUGGGCAACUCUGUCAUCUCACACAAAUGAUGAACAGAUCCAAUAAGCCCCUAUUUUAGUAUGCUUUGGCAAUGUUACACAAUCCCUGAAGAUAUUCAAGGCCAGGCUUGAUGGGUUCCUGGGCAGCCUAAUCUAGUGGUUGGCAACCCUGCCCCCAGCAGGAGAGUUGAAACCAGAUCAUCUUUUGAGGUCCCUUCCAACCCAAGCCAUUCUAGGAUUCUAUGAUAUUGUGAAAGCUGGAUGUAUUAUUAUGAGCUUACUUAUAUCUCUUGGCUGUUUUUUUUUUUUCUUUUUUAAUCGUUUUUAAAACAGAUCAUUGCAAGUUCUUGCUAAAAUCAUGACUCAUAUUUUACAUUUAUCUAUGCUCGCUCUUCAGGAAAAUGAUUAUCCUCAGGGAAUGCUAAUCAAAAUGUCUCUGUAAGUAGUGCCAAAAUGAGGUCUUCAGUUUUCUUUUGAGUGUGUGUUGAGGGGCCAUUAUUUUCACACAUUUUGUUUAAAUAUUUUUUAUAAUGUUUUUCUUAAUAUAAGGAAUUUUUUUUUCCUAUCUCCAUUGUUUUACUUGCUUUACUGUAAAUACACUCUGCAUAUAGGUUACACACACACACACAUAUAUAUCUCCUUGGAAUUUAACUCCUAAUUUCUUUUUAUCUCAGGCAACCAAGCCUCAGCUGAAAUUCUGCUGAAGAAGAAAAUCUGCAGUGCCUUUGUCUUGCUAUCAAGCUUGUGAUAAUGACAGGUAAGAAAACACACAUAGAUGGAGUUCUAAGUGUUGAAGCAAGAGCUAUGAACUUCACUGUCAGCAACACAUUUGAAAGGCAUGUUAAGACACUGAACUGCAAUGCUGAAAAGGAUUUUGUAGGAGCUGAGGAUCUCACCCCACCAAACCUGGACUAUUUGCAACCUCUUUCCCUUCACCCCAAUUUUGCCUUCUAAUUCCUACAAUUACUUUUAAAUGCCUAUUUGUAGGAAAAAAGGCAAAAAGAAAAACAUAACAAAGGAGCAAUUUUUGUAAAUUCAAUUUAUUCCAUUUUCAUGCAAGUUUUGUGAUGUUAACUGACGCUUCCAGAGUUGUUCUUAAUUUGGUCUUUUCUCUGGAAAGCAAUUGCAUGAAAAACAAUGCAAGUGCUGCAUCCUGUUGUAAACAUACAGCAAGUUGCCUGUAUAUUUGUCCUGCUACAUUUGGUUUCGUAUGCUGAUUUCCUAUAAAGUAUCAGUAAAGCAGAAUUGCUAUGCUUCAAGUGUUCAGUUUCAGAGCGAGUCAAGCAACAUUCUUGAUUACUGUGAUCUAAGGAGAAUUUCAAUAUUUUGUUGUGCUCUGAGCAUGAACAAUUUCAAGACUGCUGCUGUGCUUCAAUUUGCCCAGCUGCAUAUACUUUCACUGCAUUUUAAAUCUACAUGCUGCACUUCCAUGCCUGGAGAACAGGGAUAAAGGUUGCUGGGUAUGUUGCUUUCUUUCUAAACCUUUAAUGUGUACAGAACUCUCAUUAGUUUCUGGCAACAUGAAAAUUUUGUAUAUAAAGGAUUUACAGAAGAUGGGUGUUCUAGAACUGCUUAAUUAAGAUACAGCAAAAGUUUUAGUAAGAUUCUUCAGUGCCAUAUUAUAUCCUCUGAUCAGUGCUAAUUAGUUCAUUAUAUGCUUUUUGGAAAAUGGACAAAGCUGUAGAAAACAAGCAUUUGGCCUUCUGCUCAGAUGAAGGAGAGACAAAGCAUGCUGGGAUAGGGAGCCUCAGCUCUUAAUGUGAGACGGGGCUGGUUGCAGGACAUGGAAUACAGAUGAGGCCCUGAUUCAUGGGAUAAUAUUCAUAGUGAGAAGAAUAUGUGGCAAUAAUCAGCUUUUGCAUCAAGUGGAGCUGAGACAGUGAAUAACUCUAUAAGUGAUUUAUUGUGAAUAUAUUCCAAAGCUACAAGUGUAAUUUCUACUUAGCGUGGAAGACAAAACAAUAGAAGAUUAUGCAAACCACAACACCCAUAAUGACAAAAGUAAUGUUUUUCUUGCCUCGGCAGACUUGGAAAGUUCUGUGCUGCUGCCUUCUCAGACUUUCCUUUGGCGUCACUUUAGGGAUAGAGAUUAGGUGAGUUACUGUUCAAGGGUGGGUUCAAUAAGUGACUACUAUCUGUUGGCCUGCACGGGGACGGACAGUUGUGAUUGGACAUAGACUGUAACUGAAGGUGUAAGGUGCUUUUUACAAGGAGUAUUUUUACUUCUAGAUUAUGCUGAAAAACUUGUCAGAGAAUAGGUGCCGACACUCAGCUUGCUCUUGCAAGUAUGGCGUACACAAGUUAGGGAGGAUAAAAACAGGUCAACUUCAAUAUAUGCUGAGAACAUGAGAUUGUCAGUGACAAUAUAUCAAUUAAGGGUUUCAGAAGCCAGCAACAUUGUAUGAAAUAGGAAGACUAUUAUUUAACUAUAAAGGUUUUUUAUUGUUAUUUUUUUGUUCCUGGUGAACCUUUCUAAUAAAUUCAAGCUCUAAUUUUACUUGAAGCAUGUAUAAGAGAAAUUGAGCACAAGGAAAAGAAAAAAGAAUAUAGAAUAUUCCAUUUAGAAUAUAAUGUAUCCUAUAUUAGAAGAGGAAAAAGCUAUUUUAAAUCACAAGCUCAUUUCAGCAAAUGACAUCCUGUAAUCUAGGUUUCUAAUCGGCUCUCACCACAAUAUAUAAAUGGUGCAGAGAAAGAUACUUUACCUUCUCUGCCCUCCUUGUAUCCUACCACCUCUUGCAAAAACCCAAUCACUGCAUCAUUUUAUGACUGCACAUUCUCAUAUUCAAAACAGAUGAGAGAAAAUGAUUCUAGACAUUAUUACAAGAGUAGCAAAGUGUGGGAGGAGGAGCUCAACGUUAUUUUACUAGAUGAUUUUAAGUUUUCCAACUGUAACGAUUCUAUGGUUCUAUUAUUACUUCUUAAUUAGUAAGCAAAAGAAGCAUGACCUUUGGAAAAAAAAAAAAAUUGCUUCCGCACCCUUCCAUAAUAUCUGAAUAUGGUUUUGUGCUCUGUCAAAAUCAGCAGUUCUUUAUUUGCAGAACUUCUAAAAACUACUUAGUUAUGUCUAGAGAACAUUCCUUAUGUAAUAUAAAAAAACCCUGCGUUUUAUAAGAAAAGUAGAUUGAGAAUUCUUUGUUACACUUUGUCACUUUUCUGUCACACAUUUUAGAUUUCAUUUGAGCUAACUGUAAUGAAAAGUCACAAAAAGAACUUUAAGAUUUUUUUUUAUAUACUUGUGCUGAUUUGUUUUUAUUAUGCAUAACUUCUUUAAUCUCCCUAUUUAAAAAGUACUUAACAACAACCUUCCAGACAGCAAGCCUGUUCUAAGUUCUCCCUUGGGACACAUACAUGAUGAUAAGGCCAAAUGGCACACAGUCAUGGCCAUCUUUAAAAUUAUGGAGAAAAAUGGCUACACUUUAAUAAAAUGAACUGGAUGAUCUCAAAGUGGGCCUGAGUGAUAAUACAAAAACUUGAAAGCCAAGCAGACCUCAAUGGCAAAUCCUGUGCUUGCUUAGGUUGGUAAAACAUUCAUUUGGAUGACGGCUUCUAUCUUUUCUGCAACAAAAGGUCUACGUUUACCAUUUUUACUUCUAUAGAUCUCAAAGUAUAUGUAAAUGAAUGAAUGAAGGACCUAGAUAAUUCAGAUCUGUUCUGCAAUUUAGUCCGCGUUUUAAAGCAGAAGAGUUACCCAAAUUUUUAAGUGUAGACAAUUUCCAGUAGCAAUCGAGCCACAUAGGACGUGACUUCUCACAGUUAACUCACAGGUACCAUAUCAGCUCAGAUUUGGCUGUCAGGAAAUAGAACCUCAUUAGAGACAGCUAACUAUGAAAAGUCUUGGAGUAAGCUGCCUUUAUCCAAGAGAAAUAUCUUGUUGAGCUUUAGGGCAUGCCAAUCAGAAGUGUCAAGUUUCCUUUCUCUAUUAAAUGCACUUAGUAUAACAACUUGUCCCUGUCAGACUACUGGAAUGCUGCAGGAAGGAAAACAGGUAAAUAUAUGUUUGUGUUUAUGAUUAUUUUUUAAAAUUUA